UACGGGGGGGGCAAGCGUUGUUCGGAAUUACUGGGCGUAAAGCGCACGUAGGCGGCUUUCUAAGUCGGGGGUGAAAUCCUGGAGCUCAACUCCAGAACUGCCUUCGAUACUGGAGAGCUCGAGUCCGGGAGAGGUGAGUGGAACUGCGAGUGUAGAGGUGAAAUUCGUAGAUAUUCGGAGGAACACCAGUGGCGAAGGCGGCUCACUGGUCCGGUACUGACGCUGAGGUGCGAAAGCGUGGGGAGCAAACAGG
rnacentral:rRNA from 1 species